rnacentral:rRNA from 1 species
UACGUAGGGUGCAAGCGUUAAUCGGAAUUACUGGGCGUAAAGCGUGCGCAGGCGGUUCGCUAAGACAGAUGUGAAAUCCCCGGGCUUAACCUGGGAACUGCAUUUGUGACUGGCGGGCUAGAGUAUGGCAGAGGGGGGUGGAAUUCCCGGUGUAGUGGUGAAAUGCGUAGAGAUCGGGAGGAACACCAGUGGCGAAGGCGGCCCCCUGGGCCGCUCCUGACGCUGAGACGCGAAGGCGCGGGGAGCGAACAGG